CAGCAGCACGGUAAUACGAAGGGGGCUAGCGUUGCUCGGAAUGACUGGGCGUAAAGGGCGCGUAGGCGGAUUGUUUAGUUAGGCGUGAAAUUCCCGGGCUUAACCUGGGGACUGCGCUUAAUACAGGCAGUCUAGAGUGAGGAAGAGGGUUGUGGAAUUCCCAGUGUAGAGGUGAAAUUCGUAGAUAUUGGGAAGAACACCGGUGGCGAAGGCGGCAACCUGGUCCUUGACUGACGCUGAGGCGCGAAAGCGUGGGGAGCAAACAGGAUUAGAUACCCCUGUAGUCCCUGUCUCUUAUACA
rnacentral:rRNA from 1 species